AACGAACGCUGGCGGCAGGCUUAACACAUGCAAGUCGAGCGCCCCGCAAGGGGAGCGGCAGACGGGUGAGUAACGCGUGGGAAUCUACCCAUCUCUACGGAAUAACGCAUGGAAACGUGUGCUAAUACCGUAUACGUCCUUCGGGAGAAAGAUUUAUCGGAGAUGGAUGAGCCCGCGUUGAAUUAGCUAGUGGGUGGGGUAAAGGCCUACCAAGGCGACGAUCCAUAGCUGGUCUGAGAGGAUGAUCAGCCACACUGGGACUGAGACAAGGCACAGACUCGUACAGGAGGCAGCAGUGGGGAAUAUUAGACAAUGGGCGCAAGCUUGAUCCAGCCAUGCCGCGUGAGUGAUGAAGGCCCUGGGGUUGUAAAGCUCUUUCACCGGUGAAGAUAAUGACGGUAACCGGAGAAGAAGCCCCGGCUAACUUCGUGCCAGCCGCCGCAGUAAAAC
rnacentral:rRNA from 1 species